GAUUUAGAAAGGAUAGCGAAUCAAGUUUCGCCUGAACUGAAUACGGGUUUCUUAAAAUAUUAUAUCUGUUCCCAUCCCAUCAUGGUUUCAAACACCUCUUUAUGCCCAUUCGGAAAAUAUGAGCUUUGAUUCUCGUGUUGGCUUAUCUAAGGUUCUUGAAAGGCGAAAAGAGAAUUGUGGCUGUCUUUAUGAGAAAGAAAGCCUGAAAUGGAUCUGAACGGAGAUAUUAGUUUCUACCAGCUGACACUAUAGAUCCUAAUUCACAUGACAUGUAUACACACUCAUAGAAAUGAUGAAAGUUAAGUAGCAUAUUGAAUAUAGGUUUGCAUAAAAGGUGUAUUAAGUUCUUAACAGACUCAUUCAAUGUUUCAGUACUGAGGUUCUCUGAAAAGCUAUCUGCAUUGUUCUGCCAGUCACUUGCCAAAUUUAAUUUCUUUUCCUCCUUAUGGUCCCAAAAUAGUGUAGUAUUAAUUACUGAUGUAAAAGAGAUGCUCUGCAGCCAAGGCAGCAAAGAUUUUCUUUCUAAUGGUCAAUUAUAGGUGACUAGACAGAAGUGAGUUGCAGAAGAAGUAAAGAAAGUAGAAGUCACUUGUAUCUGAACCAUUUUCUCUAUAUGUAUGGCUAUGGCAUCAUCUGAAGUUCCAAGAAACAAGAAGAUGAAAGGGAGACGGUUCAUACUUUUUGUAGUAAUAAUGAUCCUCCUCCAUAUAGAGAGUUGUGUUUGUGUAUUGAACAGCAGCGGCAGACCUUUUUUCCCAGAUCAUGCUCCAACUGUUCAGCAAACAACAGGCACAAAGCAGAAUUCUUGGACAUCAGAAACCAGUUUGAGCUCAGAAAAGGAGGUAAUGAUGAACAAAUUACUAGGCUCGAUCCCACCAAGCUGUGAGCACAAGUGCUAUGGCUGUACUCCAUGCGAGGCCACCCAAGUACCCACCACCAAGGCAAAUUUGGAGAUUCAGUCUGCUAAUUAUCAACCUGAGGGCUGGAAAUGCAAGUGUGGUCCUUCAUUUUAUGGACCUUAACAUUGAUGAAGCUUGUGUAGAUACAGUUGAUUUGCUUAUGCCUCCAGUUUUUCAAUUUAUUCUCCUUUCUGUUGGUAGUUUGAGUGUACAUCUGUAGUUCUCAGAUAUAAUUGAUAAGACGUCUGGUUCGGUUCUUGCUCAAUUCAAAAAAUCAUCUAAUAUGAUUGUA